AGAUGGCGACCGGCGCACGGGUGAGUAACACGUAUCCAACCUGCCGAUAACUCGGGGAUAGCCUUUCGAAAGAAAGAUUAAUACCCGAUGGCAUAAUUAGACCGCAUGGUCUUAUUAUUAAAGAAUUUCGGUUAUCGAUGGGGAUGCGUCCCAUUAGGCAGUUGGUGAGGUAACGGCUCACCAAACCUUCGAUGGAUGGGGGUUCUGAGAGGAAGGUCCCCCACAUUGGAACUGAGACACGGUCCAA
rnacentral:rRNA from 1 species